GACGAACGCUGGCGGCGUGCCUAAUACAUGCAAGUCGAACGCUGAAGGAGGAGAUUGCUUCUCUGGAUGAGUUGCGAACGGGUGAGUAACGCGUAGGUAACCUGCCUGGUAGCGGGGGAUAACUAUUGGAAACGAUAGCUAAUACCGCAUAAUAUUGACUAUUGCAUGAUAGUCAGUUGAAAGGUUCAACUGCACCACUACCAGAUGGACCUGCGUUGUAUUAGCUAGUUGGUGGGGUAACGGCUCACCAAGGCGACGAUACAUAGCCGACCUGAGAGGGGGGUGGGCCAGACUGGGAAUGGGACACGGCACAGACUCCUACGGGAGGGAGCAGUAGGGGAUCUUGGGCAAUGGACGGAAGUCUGACCGCGCAAGGCCGCGGGAGGGAAGAAGGGUUUCGGAUCGUAAAGCUCUGUUGUAAGAGAAGAAAGAGUGUGAGAGUGGAAAGCUCACACUGUGACGGUAUCUUCCCAGAAAGGGACGGCUAACUACGUG
rnacentral:rRNA from 1 species